AGGCAGCAGGCGCGCAAAUUACCCACUCCCGGCACGGGGAGGUAGUGACGAAAAAUAACGAUACGGGACUCAUCCGAGGCCCCGUAAUCGGAAUGAGUACACUCUAAACCCUUUAACGAGGAUCAAUUGGAGGGCAAGUCUGGUGCCAGCAGCCGCGGUAAUUCCAGCUCCAAUAGCGUAUAUUAAAGUUGUUGCGGUUAAAAAGCUCGUAGUCGAAUCUGUGUCUCGCGCCGCCGGUUCAUCGCUCGCGGUGUUUAACUGGCGUGCCGCGGGACGUCCUGCCGGUGGGCUCUGCCCCUUCGGGGGCGGCCCAACUUCAAAUCCCACCGCGGUGCUCUUCGCUGAGUGUCGGGGUGGGCCGGCACGUUUACUUUGAACAAAUUAGAGUGCUUAAAGCAGGCUAAAACUUCGCCUGAAUAUUCUGUGCAUGGAAUAAUGGAAUAGGACCUCGGUUCUAUUUUGUUGGUUUUCGGAACCCCGAGGUAAUGAUUAAUAGGAACGGAUGGGGGCAUUCGUAUUGCGACGUUAGAGGUGAAAUUCUUGGAUCGUCGCAAGACGGACAGAAGCGAAAGCAUUUGCCAAAAACGUUUUCAUUGAUCAAGAACGAAAGUUAGAGGUUCGAAGGCGAUCAGAUACCGCCCUAGUUCUAACCAUAAACGAUGCCAGCUAGCGAUCCGCCGACGUUCCUCCGAUGACUCGGCGGGCAGUUUCAUGAUCAAGAACGAAAGUUAGAGGUUCGAAGGCGAUCAGAUACCGCCCUAGUUCUAACCAUAAACGAUGCCAGCUAGCGAUCCGCCGACGUUCCUCCGAUGACUCGGCGGGCAGCUUCCGGGAAACCAAAGCUUUUGGGUUCCGGGGGAAGUAUGGUUGCAAAGCUGAAACUUAAAGGAAUUGACGGAAGGGCACCACCAGGAGUGGAGCCUGCGGCUUAAUUUGACUCAACACGGGAAACCUCACCAGGCCCGGACACCGGAAGGAUUGACAGAUUGAGAGCUCUUUCUUGAUUCGGUGGGUGGUGGUGCAUGGCCGUUCUUAGUUGGUGGAGCGAUUUGUCUGGUUAAUUCCGAUAACGAACGAGACUCUAGCCUGCUAACUAGGCGUAUUUUCGACAUCUCAAAGGCCCCACGGCCCGGCGUUUUCGCGUCGUGGUCGCGCGUGGUUUUUACUGUCGGCGUACAAUCAAUUCUUCUUAGAGGGACAGGCGGCGUCUAGCCGCACGAGAUUGAGCAAUAACAGGUCUGUGAUGCCCUUAGAUGUUCUGGGCCGCACGCGCGCUACACUGAAGGAAUCAGCGUGUCCUCCCUGGCCGAGAGGCCCGGGUAACCCGCUGAACCUCCUUCGUGCUAGGGAUUGGGGCUUGCAAUUGUUCCCCAUGAACGAGGAAUUCCCAGUAAGCGCGAGUCAUAAGCUCGCGUUGAUUACGUCCCUGCCCUUUGUACACACCGCCCGUCGCUACUACCGAUUGAAUGAUUUAGUGAGGUCUUCGGACCGGUACGCGGCGGCGCUCC
rnacentral:rRNA from 1 species